rnacentral:lncRNA from 1 species
CAUUUUACGUGAGAUGUUGACCGUUUGAUGCUGAUCUAAUGGCUGGUAGGGGUCUACAAGUUUGACAAUGAUUAAAAGUCUGAUUCUUACUCAAAUUUAGUCCAGUUUUCAUCUAUAAAACCAGGAGGCCAUGAAGAAUUUAAGAAAAACGAGAGUAGUAGCAAACAGACAGCAAAGAGCAUCCAUCUUCAACUUUUUUAUUUUUUUUAUUUUAAAGUUUUUGUGAGGGGUUUUUGAGAGAGAAAAAGAGGGUAGUUGUCAGGGUUCUUCCUCUUCUUUCUUUCGUGAAGA